rnacentral:rRNA from 1 species
AUGGCGACCGGCGCACGGGUGAGUAACACGUAUCCAACCUGCCGAUAACUCGGGGAUAGCCUUUCGAAAGAAAGAUUAAUACCCGAUGGUAUAAUCAGACCGCAUGGUUUGAUUAUUAAAGAAUUUCGGUUAUCGAUGGGGAUGCGUUCCAUUAGGCAGUUGGUGAGGUAACGGCUCACCAAGCCUUCGAUGGAUAGGGGUUCUGAGAGGAAGGUCCCCCACAUUGGAACUGAGACACGGUCCAA